rnacentral:rRNA from 1 species
AUUGAACGCUGGCGGCAGGCUUAACACAUGCAAGUCGAACGGUAACAUAGAGAAGCUUGCUUCUUUGAUGACGAGUGGCGGACGGGUGAGUAAUGCUUGGGAAUCUGGCUUAUGGAGGGGGAUAACUACGGGAAACUGUAGCUAAUACCGCGUAAUAUCGAAAGAUUAAAGUGUGGGACCUUCGGGCCACAUGCCAUAGGAUGAGCCCAAGUGGGAUUAGGUAGUUGGUGAGGUAAAGGCUCACCAAGCCGACGAUCUCUAGCUGGUCUGAGAGGAUGACCAGCCACACGGGGACUGAGACACGGCCCAGACUCCUACGGGAGGCAGCAGUGGGGAAUAUUGCGCAAUGGGGGCAACCCUGACGCAGCCAUGCCGCGUGAAUGAAGAAGGCCUUCGGGUUGUAAAGUUCUUUCGGUAGCGAGGAAGGUGGUUAGUUUAAUAGGCUAGCCAAUUGACGUUAACUACAGAAGAAGCACCGGCUAACUCCGUG